rnacentral:lncRNA from 1 species
GAAAAUUUCUUCAAACAUUUUUUUGAGAGGAUUAAUAUUCAACAGCAUAGUGAAUUGCUCUAAGAGAAAACAAAAAUUUUAAGUUCAUUAGAACACAUUCAUUCUGUGUCAGAAACCUAUGCUGUGUCAACUAUUUAAUCACAAUCCAAAUUUAGAGCUGAGUCCAGCUUGAAUGUUGUGUCCAUACUUGCCCCAACCAUUCAGGGUUCAACCUCUGCGGUCGUAUAAAGCUACGCCCUGCGGAGCAUCUGGUU